AAGCUCGUAGUUGAAUUUCGGGAUUAGUACGUCGGUCGUGCCUUAGGUACGUACUGGUGUUACUGGUUCCUACCUUCUGAUGAACCAUCAUGUCAUUAAUUGGUGUGGUGGGGAAUCAGGACUGUUACUUUGAAAAAAUUAAGAGUGUUUAAAGCAGGCUCGCGCUUGAAUACAUUAGCAUGGAAUAAUGAAAUAGGACGUUGAUCCUAUUUUGUUGGUUUCUAGGAUUGACGUAAUGAUUAAUAGGGAUAGUUGGG
rnacentral:rRNA from 1 species